AUGUUCAAGGUUCGUCUUAUCAAGGAGCUCUACGGCAACCAAAUCGGAGAAUUGUCCUACAGUCUUCCAUAUACCUUGAUAGAGUUUACAUUGGAAGAUUUUGAAUGCAAGGUUACGGUGAGUAUCCGAUAUUCGGAUCUAAUCUUGACCCUGCCUAGUCAGGCGAGGGUCUUGGCUUGGCCGCUUCGCUCUGCAAAGAGAAUAUCUGCAGCAGACUGCCGUGCUCAGCCUGUACCAUCUCGCCUCUCCUAUGCCGACAACGCGUUGAAGACCUUGAGUUUGCCAGAAGCAUACGCGGAGAUUGUCCUGGAGCUGCCCCGUGCUCUGAAGCAGACGUUCUACUAUCAGGAAAGUGACUGA
rnacentral:rRNA from 1 species